rnacentral:rRNA from 1 species
UACGUAGGUGGUAAGCGUUGUCCGGAAUUAUUGGGCGUAAAGCGCGCGCAGGCGGUCCUUUAAGUCUGAUGUGAAAGCCCACGGCUCAACCGUGGAGGGUCAUUGGAAACUGGGGGACUUGAGUACAGAAGAGAAGAGUGGAAUUCCACGUGUAGCGGUGAAAUGCGUAGAGAUGUGGAGGAACACCAGUGGCGAAGGCGACUCUUUGGUCUGUAACUGACGCUGAGGCGCGAAAGCGUGGGGAGCAAACAGG